CCUAAGUUUGACUUUAGCUUUAAUUAUAGGUUUAGCUGGCAGGCAUAUGCAAGUAAGAGCGUUCUCCAACAAGAUAAAAGGUGGCGCAAUGUCAAGCACUGGAUAAAAUUGUAAAAUUGUUUCGGGCUUAGCUAAAAAAACCUGGAUAAUCAUGUGCCAGCAUCCGCGGUUACACAUUUAGGGUUCUAUAAGUAAUCGGGCUAAACCAAUAUUUUAAAUACUGUAACUCAUCUCUCAAGAGGUCAAAUUUUGAGAUUUACUUUCAUAUUAGUUUACGUAAAACGUGGUUGAAAGCAUAGAGAGAAACAAGGAUUUGAUACCCUUUUAUCCUUUGCUGUAAAGUGGUCCCCGGGCAGUAUAGGCACAGGCCCGAAACCCAAAAACCUUGGCGGCGUCCCUGUUCUAGGGGAACCUGUCUCUUAAUUCGAUAAUCCCCGAUUUACCCUUUCUGAAGAAGGCCUUGUACGGCCGUAAAUAAGUUGACUUCGUAAGGAGGAUGCUCAACGGUUAGUAGUAUAAAGUAGCUUUUUAUACUGGGCCUAAAAGACAGGUCACGUGAGGCUAAUGGGAGGGGGAGGAUGGGUUACAACCCUUAGAAGGAUUACUGAUUAAAUUUUUUAUUAAUUUCAUGAAGGUGGACUUAGUAGUAAGAGUGCUUUUCACUCUGAAAAUCAAGGGGGGCGUGUACAAAUCGCCCGUCGCUCUCGUCGAAAGAUGAGAUAAGUCGUAACAGAGUAGGUGUAACGGAAGUUGCACCUAAUUAAAA
rnacentral:ncRNA from 1 species